AGCACUCGGAGCUGCCCCAAUGCCUCCACCCAAGGUCGCGGCCCAAAGGGAGCCCUCGAAAGUUCAGCCAGAGGCCGAGGAGUGCCAGGGUUGGCACUACGGGGAGAGUUUUGCGACAGGAGAGGGACUAAGAGCUCGAUUCCAGGUAGUAGCGGGAACCCGAGGCAAGCGCCCAGUCCCGCAAGCUGCAUCCCCGACCGCAGCGCCCAGCUCGGAAAAGCUGGGCGGGGGCUGCACCACCUGAGCCGCAAGGACAGCACGGCCUCCCCCUACUCAUCAGUGUUCUCCAUCCCUAGAAUCGGGGCGCGGAGAGCCAAUCCGGGCUGGAAAGGGAGCGGCGUCCACCCUUGGGCAGCCCAAGCAGCCCCCCUCCUUUUCUGUCGCAGACCCCAGGCUGGGAGGCGGGGGCGCCAGGUCGGCCCAAGCUGCUGCAGCCACUGCCUUAAAGGCAGCGGAGGACGCGGCGCUGGGGAGGGGGCGAGGCGGGUGGCGGAGGUGAGAGGAGAGUGGUCGAGCGCGGGGGCCAACACCCGGGUCGCGCAGGGCGGGUGUUGGACACCCCGGCGCACUGCCGGGGACUGGGGUCGCAGAGUCCCUUACCUUGGCGAGCUGCGGAAGUCGUGCGCGAGGCGGCCCGCGGUGCACCCGGCCGGGGCAGCUAGGCGCACACCCCGGCUUCGGGGCGCACGCAGCCUCCGGGUGCACAGUCCGCGUCCCAGGCGCGCACCCCGGGGCUGGAGCACCCUGGUCGUCCGCGGCGCGCACACCCUCCAGGCGCCCUCUGGCCGGCGGGCUCGGCCCUGGCCCCGGCGCACCCCUGUGGGCACACCCACCGCGGCGGAUGCGGGACUGGCCAGGCGCCGCCAGUCGCGGCUUCGCCCCGCGUCGCCAGCUGCCAACAGCGCCCGAGUCCCCGCCUUCGCUAGGGGAGAAAAAAAAAGACUCCUGACGCGGCGCGGGCUUUGGUGUGUAGGAAGGGGCAGAAUUGUGAAACCGAGGGGAGGGUCUUAG
rnacentral:lncRNA from 1 species